CAGUCGCCGCGGUAAAACGGAGGGUGCAAGCGUUAAUCGGAAUUACUGGGCGUAAAGCGCACGCAGGCGGUCUGACAAGUCAGAUGUGAAAUCCCCGGGCUUAACCUGGGAACUGCAUUUGAAACUGUCAGGCUGGAGUCUUGUAGAGGGGGGUGGAAUUCCAGGUGUAGCGGUGAAAUGCGUAGAGAUCUGGAGGAAUACCGGUGGCGAAGGCGGCCCCCUGGACAAAGACUGACGCUCAGGUGCGAAAGCGUGGGGAGCAAACAGGAUUAGAUACCCGCGUAGUCCCUGUCUCUUAUAU
rnacentral:rRNA from 1 species